ensembl:lincRNA
CGGCCCGGAACACGCGCUUUUCCCUUUCUCUGCAAGCGGGAAAGGCCUGUUCACCAGGCGGGCAGGCGGCGGGGCCUCGGCUGAAACCCGAGCUCCCUGCGAUCUCCGCUGCGAGAAGGGGCGGGCUGGGAGAAUUCCUGAGAAAAGCCCCUCUGGAAAAAACCAAACCCUCCGAAAGACGAGGGCCUGCCCCUCCCCCGGCCCCUCCACACCGCCCGCUCAGCCCUCACCUGCGACCCAGCCUGGGCCUGGCCGCCUUCCCCGCCCCCACUCUUCGGCUCCAUCUCCCUGACCUUUCCGAGGCCUGGGCUGGGGUGCCUCGGAGGAAAUGAAAUUGUUCUGGAGAUUACAGUGGGGCUUUGGGCCAGAAGCACCCCCGCCUUCUCAUGCUUGCAUGUUAAAUGCAAACUUGUAUCUCUUGUCACAAGAAUGGCCAAAUUUUCUCGCUUAUUUGCAGUUUUGCAAAGUGCUACACACAGAUCAGGGAACCUGAAGGCCUACGGAGACCCACGUUGUGCAGGCUCUGGGAAGCAGAUCCUCCUGCAGAAAUAUUGCUGUCCUUGGGAGCGUGGAAGCCAGCCAUCACUGUGAUGGAUAGACAAGAGGACCGUGGCAGAGAAAGGAGCAGGUAUAUGGCAAAGGAGCGAGAAAGAGGAGCUGCUUGCUUUUGCCCAAGUCUGUAACGCAGCCUGGCUCCAUCCAUCUGAGUGUAUCCUCACUCAGUCACCAGAGUCAAAGAGAAAUCAGGCUCUGGGUUUAUGGCCAUGGUGUGUGUGUGUGUGUGUGUGUGUGUGUGUGUAGGGGUGUGCCUUUCCCAACCCUGGCUAGCACAGAAAGGAGCCUAUAAUAGGUAAGAAAAGCGCCCUCUCUUUCUCUCUCUCUCUCUCUCUCUCUCUCUCUCUCUCUCUCUCAGCCUAGGCCACAGCCCACAGCAAGUGUGAGGAAGUCUUCCUCAUUAAAGAAAUCCUUUGUAUGAUGCUGCAUUUCUUUCCCAGAUUCGUAGUGGCCACACGGAAGGAGGAGGCAGCUGCAGUAGCUGCUGCUUCUACAUGCAGGCAUCCAGCAGUGUGUGCCUAGCAGCAGACUUGGUGUCCCCAGUGUGAAGAGCCCAGGCUUUGCCCAUUAGGCUGUGACUGAAAACAAUCCCCCUGCUCCAAGCAGCCUCCACAGCGCCUACCCCAAGUCCCUAAACAGAUUCCUGGACUGCGAGAGCACAGUUCAUAGCAUGAACAUCUAAGGGCUGGAUUUGGUAGGGGGAAGGAAGCGCAGAGAAUUCCCACCCGAUUCUGAAAUCACCAACACACUCACAUGCAGUAGCCAGUAUUUGCGCCUGUGUAUGUGACAGUGUCAUACUUUUGUCCCCAGAAUGACACUUCAAAAAUAUUUCUCCUACAUACCACCAGAGGCUGUUUUUACACCCCACUGUUGCGAGUCAGUCUCCUGUAAACCAUAUUUGUGCGUUUUCCCCAUAGAUUUUAAUGAAAGAAGAAUUGUGCAAAAGCCACUGCUUUGUCCCAGAACUGAAACAAAGACUAACACACAGGAAAGAUGCAGCCUCUCCAAAAUGCCCUCUUCUCUGAUUUGGGAGCGAAGUGCCUGGAGUCACCAGCCCAUAAUUGUGGUUGAUAUUUAAUCCUCCUUGGUACAAAGCUCAUCUUUCCUCUACGCAGGAGUACCAUUGAGAUAUGACUAACCUUUAGGGUUAUAUCCCAAACCGGGAGUCCGGGGCUUACACUCAGAUUGCCUGGGCCUCUUCUAACCUGAACAAAAAGGAUUUGAAGAAAAUCACAUUUUUUCCCCCUUCGCAACAAAGCAUUCCUAAUCACUUCAGCUCGUUGGUGAAUUUUUAUUCCCGUGUCCACUUGGGGUAUUGAAAUCGAUCGCCGCAAUAUUUAAUAUAUUACACUCCUAGGGUCAUUGCUCUCCUAAGACCAAAUUCUCUCCCUUUUGCCCUCAACUCAGCCUGGCUUCUAUCCUCCCAGUCCCAUCUGUCCAGGCCCUCCAUUUAUCUGUCCACACAACGCCUUUAAUUCCCAGCCCAGCCAGACAACUUCACGUUUAUUCUGUUUUCUUCUGGUAUGGAAAAUUCUGAAAGCUGUAGGCAGCAGUGCACUUAAAAGGGAAAACGAGGAGUUCAGUAGAUUGCAGAAAAUUAACCUGCCACAAACAACCUCAUUAAAGCACUGCCUACCAAGAGUUAAGAAUUAAUAGCAAAAUGGAUGGGAAAAAAACCCUUGAGUGAAGAGACCUUAAACCUCUUCCCCUGGAAGGUGCAUAAUUUACAAGCCCACCCUAACAUUCACUUUUACUUCCCUUUCCUAGUGAUCUGUCCCAUAACCUUGUAAUCCACUGCUGGGGCGUUUUCUCUUUGGUCCUUUUCUUCUUUUUUUCACACACCUGUAGGUUUGCAAGUUCGAAUACUUUCUCAUAUUUUUUUGUUCAAAAAUGCACUUAUAUUGUUUGGAGCCUUUUAAUUUAGAGAGACACUUUAAGAGACUCCUGGAAUACCCUUUGGGAGUCCUUAGAUGAUUUGAAGAGUGCCCUUAAAAGAAUUGUGUUUGGAUAGGAGGGGGUGUGUGGUAAGAUCACGCAGAAAAGAAGCCUGAAAAACCAGAAUGAGGGCAUUUUGGAGGUGUAGGGUUCUGACAGUGCUGUGCUUUCUUCUGCACAUGAACUUCGUAUUUAAGUAAAGCCCAUGUACACGGGCUUUAAGUUGCUUUUCUAAUAAAAAUUGGGCAGUGUGUUCUCUAUUGGCAUUUUAUAUGCAUAAUCUCAUUUCGAUGCAGAGCUGCAUACUAAAUCCUGGAGCAGGCAGAUGAGAAUGCUGUAUUACACUCAAUUUCAUUGGCUUCAAUGAGACUUGCACAUUGCCAUUUCCAUUGUAAUGGCUUAUCUUUGGCUGGAAUUUUACACAUUGACAUGCUAUCCCUUCUUUGGCCGGGAUCCUGAAUGAAGAAACCCUGUCAAUGGAACAGCCAUAAUGAUUCCAUUCACAUUAUAG